rnacentral:rRNA from 1 species
GUGCCAGCCGCCGCGGUAAAACCAGCACCUCAAGUGGUCAGGAGGAUUAUUGGGCCUAAAGCAUCCGUAGCCUGCUCUGUAAGUUUCCGGUUAAAUCCAUUAGCUUAACUGAUGGGCCGCCGGAAAAACUGCAGAGCUAGGGAGUGGGAGAGGUAGACGGUACUCGGUAGGAAGGGGUAAAAUCCUUUGAUCUAUUGAUGACCACCUGUGGCGAAGGCGGUCUACCAGAACACGUUCGACGGUGAGGGAUGAAAGCUGGGGGAGCAAACCGGAUUAGAUACCCGGGUAGUCCCAGCUGUAAACGAUGCAGACUCGGUGAUGCCCUGGCUUGUGGCCAGUGCAGUGCCGCAGGGAAGCCGUUAAGUUUGCCGCCUGGGAAGUACGUACGCAAGUAUGAAACUUAAAGGAAUUGGCGGGGGAGCACCACAAGGGGUGAAGCCUGCGGUUCAAUUGGAGUCAACGCCAGAAAUCUUACCCGAGGAGACAGCAGAAUGAAGGUCAAGCUGGAGACUUUACCAGACAAGCUGAGAAGUGGUGCAUGGCCGUCGCCAGCUCGUGCCGUGAGAUGUCCUGUUAAGUCAGGUAACGAGCGAGAUCCCUGCCUCUAGUUGCCACCAUUACUCUCAGGAGUAGUGGGGCGAAUUAGCGGGACCGCCACAGUUAAUGUGGAGGAAGGAAGGGGCCACGGCAGGUCAGUAUGCCCUGAAACCUUGGGGCCACACGCGGGCUGCAAUGAUAGUGACAAUGAGUUCCUAAACCGAAAGGUGGAGGCAAUCUUCAAACGCUAUCACAGUUAUGAUUGAGGGCUGCAACUCGCCCUCAUGAAUAUGGAAUCCCUAGUAACUGCGUGUCAUUACCGCGCGGUGAAUACGUCCCUGCUCCUUG